rnacentral:rRNA from 1 species
UACAGAGGUCCCAAGCGUUGUUCGGAUUCACUGGGCGUAAAGGGUGCGUAGGUGGCCGGGUAAGUCUGACGUGAAAUCUCCAAGCUCAACUUGGAAACUGCGUCGGAUACUAUCCGGCUAGAGGAUCGGAGGGGAGACUGGAAUACUUGGUGUAGCAGUGAAAUGCGUAGAUAUGCGGAGGAACACCGAUGGCGAAGGCAAUCCCCUGGGCCUGCACUGACGCUCAUGCACGAAAGCGUGGGGAGCAAACAGG